AAGGAGACCCGCAGCUAAUGGCUCGGCAGUGAUGCGCCAGGUGUGGGCCUCGCUCGAAUGGGGAGGAGAGUGUGAAAACAGAUAGAGAGACACACACACUGAGAGGGAGACACCCUGGCAGAGGAGAUGCAAAUGGAAUUCCGCAGAAAGAAAAGAGAGCUUAACGCGCGCGGCGAGUUCCGCAGGGGCAGCGGGACUUGAUGACCUUACGUUUUCCACAGCCUAGCUUCAGCUGGAGAUGGCUGUUCAUGGAAGAAGUCGCUUUCCCGUUUGUCUGGGCCUCGCCUGCACUCCAGGAAGAAACUGGAAUAGAACUCCUUCAAACUGACCCCUUUUGAGCUCCAAGCAAGUGUGCUGCGGCCAGGUUAUUCGCGUCACGGCUCGAGAAGGAAGGUAAAUCCGGAGAGCAAAUGAAGCCCUGUACAACCCCAUUAAGCCUGGGCAAUCCCAAAACAGCGGAGAGGGGGUGACAGCAGCUGAGGUGGAGCCCACUCCAGGCCCGGCGACUUCACAAUUCCGUCGGCGGGAGACACCCAUCCCCCACCUACCACCCGGCAGAUCCCCGGUCCCUUCCCCCGCUGGGGCGACGGGCUCCUGUCCAGCCUGCUCCUCUCGGAUUGAAAUUCUCAGGACUUCAAAAGCUCCCAGCGUGGCUUCCGCCGGGGCUGGGCUGGCCUGGGGCGGGCCGGGGGUGGGUGGGUGGGAACCCGACGGAGAUAAGAUGCACCGGUCGUUUUAAAAGGAAUCGGAAGCCCGGCCAGGGCCCCCAGACACGCUGGUCAGCUGGAAAAGCUUCUCUUCCCAAGAAAACCCGGCUCGGGAAAGCGGCGCGUGUGGGGGCUGCCUCCGCUGUCUGCCCGCCCCGCUCGGGGGAGGUGGCCAGGGUCCCCAAUCACCCUCCCCAGCCUGCAGCAGGCCUCCCAGCGGCGACAGGGCCCCCGAGAAGGGAGAGGGCGAGGAGUCCGGCAAUGGAGGCCUGGAGCUGGCUUGUCGGCUCAGAUGUCGGUGAAAAUAGGGGCAGAAAAAAAAAUGUUCUCCCUUCUCCGGUUAAAAAGUAAGAACAAAGGAAGCCUCCUUCUAA